rnacentral:rRNA from 1 species
CUACGGGGGGCUGCAGUGGGGAAUAUUGCACAAUGGGCGCAAGCCUGAUGCAGCCAUGCCGCGUGUAUGAAGAAGGCCUUCAGGUUGUAAAGUACUUUCAGCGGGGAGGAAGGGGGUAAAGUUAAUACCUUUGCUCAUUGACGUUACCCGCAGAAGAAGCACCGGCGAACUCCGUGCCAGCAGCCGCGGUAAUACGGAGGGUGCAAGCGUUAAUCGGAAUUACUGGGCGUAAAGCGCACGCAGGCGGUUUGUUAAGUCAGAUGUGAAAUCCCCGGGCUCAACCUGGGAACUGCAUCUGAUACUGGCAAGCUUGAGUCUCGUAGAGGGGGGUAGAAUUCCAGGUGUAGCGGUGAAAUGCGUAGAGAUCUGGAGGAAUACCGGUGGCGAAGGCGGCCCCCUGGACGAAGACUGACGCUCAGGUGCGAAAGCGUGGGGAGCAAACAGGAUUAGAUACCCUCGUAGUC